GUCAUCGUGGUGCGAGAGGGGGGGAGAUGACGGAGGGUGAAAGCGUUAUUCGGAAUUACGGGACGUAAAGCGCGCGUAGGUGGUUGGUUAAGUUGGAAGUGAAAUCCCCGGGCUCAACCUGGGAACUGCUGUCAAAACUGCUGAGCUAGAGUACGGUAGAGGGUGGUGGAAUUUCCUGUGUAGCGGUGAAAUGCGUAGAUAUAGGAAGGAACACCAGUGGCGAAGGCGACCACCUGGACUGAUACUGACACUGAGGUGUGAAAGCGUGGGGAGCAAACAGGAUUAGAUACCCGGGUAGUC
rnacentral:rRNA from 1 species